UGUGCCCUGGACGACAGAUGGUCUCCGUGAUGUCAAAUCGGAAUAGAUUCCUGCCUCUUAAGGUCAAUGUGUCAGCAGGGGCAGGGAGCCCUGUGGAUGUGCAGAAGAGUGUUCCAGACAGAAGAGCACCUGGUGGGUCUAAGGAGGAAUGAGGGUGAGUGAAGGUCCCUGCCUUCCUCAUGGGGGUUCUCUGCCUGCACCGUGCCCUCCAGCAGGGAUGCUGAUCCUCUUCUUGCCCAUCCCUGGACCCCCGCAAGGCCAGACCGCCCUCAUCCCUUCAGAUCCAGAGAAUGCCAAACCUUCCAUGAAGCCUGCUCUGAUUCCCCAGGUGCAGUUCUCUAACCUCUAGACAACGACGGAAUUCUCUAGCACUUACUGACCUGCACCUGGUGUGACGGACAUAAACUGUAUCAUCGCUUCACUGCAAAGCCCCCGUCUGGUGUAUGUGCAUCUUCCUCAGACCCCCUGGACUGGGUCAAUGAACAGUCCUUAAACACAGUGACAGAGUCCAGGGCUAACAGCCAGGAGAGGGAGCCCCUGAGCCGUCUGGAGUCCAAAGCAAGGAGGUGAAGUCUGAGCAUCCAGGAAUCCACAGCCUGGAAGAGGAGCCAGAAAUACCUCUGGAAGUAAAGGCGCUUUGUAAGUGGGUAUUAUUAUUGCUACAUAAAACAUUCUUCCAAAAAUAAACUGUCAUAUACAUUCCCCUGGCCCAGUUACUCAUUCAUAAAGUUUUGUUUUGUUUUAACUGUCAAGUCAGUGAAGGAAAAUGACUGUCGGUUCAGUACAGGAGAAGAAAACCUGGCUUGAGGUCUUGGACAGAGCUUAGCAUCCCUGCCCCUAAGCUCUCCCACCUGCUACAGUGAGUGCUCCUGUGAGAACAGGCUGGCAUGGGGACGUAAGUCCUCGGCACGGUCUCCAGCGUGUCUGUAAGAACUCAAUAAACCGAAACUAUUAUUAGUCAAA